rnacentral:rRNA from 1 species
UACAGAGGGUGCGAGCGUUAAUCGGAAUUACUGGGCGUAAAGCGUGCGUAGACGGCUAUCUAAGUCGGGUGUGAAAGCCCCGGGCUCAACCUGGGAAUUGCAUUCGAGACUGAAUAGCUAGGGUACGGUAGAGGGAAGCGGAAUUUCCGGUGUAGCGGUGAAAUGCGUAGAUAUCGAGAGGAACACCUGCGGCGAAGGCGGGGUUGCUGGGCUGACACUGACGCUGAUGCGCGAAAGCCAGGGAGCGAACGGGAUUAGACGUACCGA